CAACUUAAUGCUUUGGAGUUUACUUUGUCCUUAUGCUUUCAAAUCAAUCGUCUAUAGUGUAUUCCUUCCUCUAACUACAUUAAUCUAAAUGUUCAGGAUCCUUGUCGCCCUGGAGUCAAGGAUGCUGUGAGAGUAUGCAUUGAAGCUGGCAUUAAGGGACAUUGAGAGUUCUGUUGCUGUAUUUGAAUGCGUUCCCAAGAGAACUUUGGAGUGUUUCAACUCAUUGAUGACCUUUGUCUCAUUGUGAUGCGGUUGGUGAUGUGGUUGAAUUUUUUGCUUUGAUGAUUGAUGAAGGUCUUGUGCCGGAUGAAGUAACCAUAUGAACAACACUGAAGGCGGUGUCAGUGUCUGCUUCAGCAAGCUUCAUGAGUUCCCAGUUACUGCGUUGUUAUGCAUUAAAGUCUGGACUUGGAGGAGAAGCUGCAGUUGCAUUCCUUAGAGACUUGGAUUAUAUGUCAUUCACUUCUCUUUCAGGGCGGCAAAGUGGAGAUAGUGCAAAAUCAUUCCUUAGAGAAGAAUGCAUUUAUAAGGAAAAAUCAGAGAGGGAUAGGAAAAUUGAAGAGUGGCUUCCAAAUGGUGGUACUCAGCUUUCCACAAUGUUACUGCCAUGGUUGGAGCUCGUGUUCUUGGUCUUCCCUAUGCUGUGUCAGAGCUUGGAUGGUAUAUUUAAA